GACGAACGCUGGCGGCGUGCCUAAUACAUGCAAGUAGAACGCUGAAGGAGGAGCUUGCUCUUCUGGAUGAGUUGCGAACGGGUGAGUAACGCGUAGGUAACCUGCCUGGUAGCGGGGGAUAACUAUUGGAAACGAUAGCUAAUACCGCAUAAGAGUAGAUGUUGCAUGACAUUUGCUUAAAAGGUGCAAUUGCAUCACUACCAGAUGGACCUGCGUUGUAUUAGCUAGUUGGUGGGGUAACGGCUCACCAAGGCGACGAUACAUAGCCGACCUGAGAGGGUGAUCGGCCACACUGGGACUGAGACACGGCCCAGACUCCUACGGGAGGCAGCAGUAGGGAAUCUUCGGCAAUGGACGGAAGUCUGACCGAGCAACGCCGCGUGAGUGAAGAAGGUUGUCGGAUCGUAAAGCUCUGUUGUAAGAGAAGAACGAGUGUGAGAGUGGAAAGUUCACACUGUGACGGUAUCCUACCAGAAAGGGACGGCUAACUACGUG
rnacentral:rRNA from 1 species